CAAGUACGGACUUGCAUAGCUGACUGAAUGCAGAAGACGGUGCGACAUCCAAACGAGUAGGUCUCAAUACAUGCACUUGUUACAUAACAAAAUGAUAAAGUUCAGUUUACUACUUCUGAUUUGUGCUCUGGCGUGUGAGAAAAUAAAUGCAGAUGACCAUGGUUCUUGCGCAAGCUCACCAAACUGUGCUCUGUUUCCCGGCCAAACCGACGGCAUUGUCACACUUCAAAAUUUGCAACAGAAAGUGCAAUCGAAACACUGGAUUAUGAUUUAUUACUCCGAUUUCACCACCCACCAAGGGUACGGAAAAUGUAAUUUUAGAUGGAACGCACCUGGUACAGACAACAACGUUCACAAAGAGUUGAUGUGUUA